AGCUUUGUGCAAUGGCAGUAUUGCAGCCAAUGAGGUUUAUCUGAGAUGCAAUUAUUGCUAAUGAAAACUUUUCCCAAUACACACCAUGGAGACAUUAAAUACAGUCGGCAUUGGCAAUUUUUGAUAGUAUUUACGGAGACUGAAUA
ensembl:snRNA U4 U4 spliceosomal RNA